ACACACACACACACACAUAUAUAUAUAUAUGUAUAUAUAUGGGAUGUAUUAGAAUGAUUUAUAGGCUGUGGUCCAGCUAACCCAACAAUGGAAACCUAUAAAUGGAAAGUCCUAGAAUUCAGCAGUUGCUCAGUCUGAAUAUCUCACCUGGUCUUCAGUAUAUGCUGGCAUUCCAAAGAAGUAGGUUUUGAUGGCAGCAAAGGUUAAUUUGCUCCAGAAGUGAGAGCAAGCAGACAAACAGCAAAAGCUUCCUUCUUCCUAGCUGGGUGGUGGUGCACGUCUUUAAUCCCAACACUUGGGAGGCAGAGGGAGACAGAUUAGUGUGUAGGCCAUCCUGGUCUACAGAGUGAGUUUCAGGGCUGCUAGGGCUACAUACUGAAACCCUGUCUUGAACCUCCCAUCCCACCUCCAAAAAGCUUCCUUCUUUCAUGUCCUCAGAUAGAGUUGCAGCAGAGGUACAGCUCAAAUUAUGUCUGGAUUCAAGAUCUGGAUUCAUGGUGUGUUUCCCUCCUUAAGACCAGGAUUAAAGAUGUGGGUUUUUUUUAUUUUUUUAUUUUUUUUCCGCCAGUUCAAAAGAUCUGGAUUAAAGGUGUGGUUUCUUAUCUCAAAGAUUCAGAUUAGAUGUAGUCAAGUUGACAACCAAGAGUAGCUACCACACAGGUUCUCAGAGGACCAGACUGUCCUGGGAGAAUCAUUUACUUUCUCCAGACCCUCCUGGGAUAAAUGCCAGCCUUUCAU
rnacentral:lncRNA from 1 species